ACUUCAGUUUAAGAGGAAUAACAGGUAGCACAAAAUGUGCAGUCUUUAUAAACACAGUAGCCAAACUGGAAUUUAGCUUUCAAAAGCAACUCUUCUUAAUAUUUGUCUUCAUGAAGAACACAGUAUUUCAACAUCUGAGUCUGAUCUAACAUCUGUUAUUGUUCAAGUUUCUUCACAGCGGGUCACUUCUACAACUUCUCGUUCUACAUCCACUGUUCCUUUAAACACGGUCACUUCCACAACAUCUACUACUCCCACUACUACUACAGGUCCUUUAGCGUCAAUCACUUCCACAACAUCUACCAGUCAUACUUCUUCAGGUUAGUGUAAUAUUGGAUUUCAUCCAAGUUUGUUUUUGGUGACAACAUAUGUUAUACAACCACAGACAACAAUUAUUUUAACGACGGGCAGUUUGCACAGAAAUGUAA